rnacentral:lncRNA from 1 species
AAGCAAGUUUAUAUUCCUCUCAAGACAUCUCAGUUUUGCCUGUCUCCAAAAUCUUGGACCAACCAAGUGACCUUGUUACUACUUUCUUCACUUUUUCUCCUAACAUCUCUUUCUCAGUCUCUUCCAGGGUGAAGGAUGGACUUUGGUGUGGUGUGUUCUCUUUUGUACAUGCCUCAGUGAGAUGCACAAAGCACAACUUGGUCAGAUUCACAGAGGCUCUUGUCUCCUCUAACUCUUCCUGACGCAGGUUCCUCUAAUCUGAUGGGACACUCCUGCAAUGAUGCUUCAGCUGUAUUUUAACCUCAAGAAACCCUAAGAUCCCUCACUCCUAUGCUGCUGUCAACGGGAGGCUAAGAAGCACAGAGAAAUAGGCCAUACAAAGUCUACCUCUCUGAACACUCUGGUUUGUUGAGAUGACAGAUGGUUAAGUCUCUCUCUGACAUCAAGAGAUAGAGCCAAAGUUAUCAUGGAAUUGUUUCUUUUGGAAUGUCAAGUUUAUGUGCACCGUAUCACUCUUCUGAAAUGGACUCAAGAUUCAGGGUCUCAUCUCACUUUUGAUUUAACUACACUCAUAUUCAUCCAUGUGUGAAAAAUGGUGAUCACACUAGAAAGCUUGUUCUUACUGUUUCCUUGCAUAUCUGAAUACCUGCAUCACAUUCAAAUCUAACUCACUGCCUUAAUUUAAUAGCUGAAAGAAACACUGAACAAGUCACACUCCUGCAAGGGCAUGGAACACAGAAUGUUGCCAUAGACUUGCGGAAAUGCCUGCUACAUACAUGCGUGUUGAACAAUGAACUUCAUAACUGACAUAUUUAUCAGAGAAUCAGGAUGAGAGAAGCAUCUUCAACCUUUCUGGACUACAGCACCUGCCAACUGACCCCCACAUCAUGGCUCCAACGCUGGCUUCAUCACAUAUCUUCUCUCUCAGUCCCUUUGGCUCUCAGGGUGCAAUUGCUUAACAAAAUUGCUGAUCUAGGUGCCUCAGCAUUGUUUCUUUGUCACAGUCUCUGUAUUAUCUUAUUCUGAGCCAUUCUUUUCCUGCAAAGAUCCUAACUGAAUGAGAUAACUACUUCAUAAGCUAUUUGUAAGGUUUAAAUAAAUUAAUGCAUAUUUAAUACAUGAAGCUGUGCCUAGUUUAUAGUAAUUACUCAAAAAUGUUACUUAUUUCUCCAUCCAAAACAUACAAACAAUAGUAUAUCCUUC